AAUGGUUUACAAUCACAAUCUAAUAAUUAAAUUGAAAAGAUAUUAAUAUCAGUUAUUGAUAGUAGAUAUUAUAACUACGCAUAUAAAGUAUACCUACAAUGUAACAAAUACAUAUAUAUAUAUAUGAAACCUGCAAACGGAAAUGAAGAGAACUAUAUAUGCAAUCUCCGCAACAAUGACAGCGAAAAUAUUAAUUACAUUUUUAAUCAAUGAACAUAUUAUAAACUAUAAAAUUUGAGACAACACACAUUUAAAAUGACUUCAUUUACAUUCAACACUACUUUGAAACAACAGGGCGGUACUUUCCUUAUAUUCACAAUCCUGUUUCUUUUUAUUAUCCUUGUGUUAUACGUCAGCACCAAGGACUGGAAACGAUUUACUUGCCCGGAGGAAGUGGAUCUGGGCUCAGUACGACUACCAUCCCAUACUUGUCGCCGGAAACACCCAAAUACUCAUAGACACUGCAGCUUAUGAAGAAUUAACAAUGUUUUUAUACUAAUCUGUGUCAAAUAACAUCAUGUUCGUCUACUGA